rnacentral:rRNA from 1 species
GACGAACGCUGGCGGCGUGCCUAAUACAUGCAAGUUGAGCGCUGAAGGUUGGUACUUGUACCAACUGGAUGAGCAGCGAACGGGUGAGUAACGCGUGGGGAAUCUGCCUUUAAGCGGGGGACAACAUUGGGAAACGAAUGCUAAUACCGCAUAAAAACUUUAAACACAAGUUUUAAGUUUGAAAGAUGCAAUUCCAUAACUAAAAGAUGAUCCCGCGUUGUAUUAGCUAGUUGGGGAGGUAAAGGCUCACCAAGGCGAUGAUACAUAGCCGACCUGAGAGGGUGAUCGGCCACAUUGGGACUGAGACACGGCCCAAACUCCUACGGGAGGCAGCAGUAGGGAAUCUUCGGCAAUGGACGAAAGUCUGACCGAGCAACGCCGCGUGAGUGAAGAAGGUUUUCGGAUCGUAAAACUCUGUUGGUAGAGAAGAACGUUGGUGAGAGUGGAAAGCUCAUCAAGUGACGGUAACUACCCAGAAAGGGACGGCUAACUACGUG